rnacentral:rRNA from 1 species
UACACGACCGUACCGCAAACCGACACUGGUGCGCGAGAUGAGUAUUCUAAGGCGCUUGAGAGAACUCAGGAGAAGGAACUCGGCAAAUUGACACCGUAACUUCGGAAGAAGGUGUGCCUUUAGUAGGUGAACCAUUUACUUGGGGAGCCCAAUGAGGUUGCAAAAAAUCGGUGGCUGCGACUGUUUAUUAAAAACACAGCACUCUGCAAACACGAAAGUGGACGUAUAGGGUGUGACGCCUGCCCGGUGCUGGAAGAUUAAAUGAUGGGGUGCAAGCUCUUGAUUGAAGUCCCAGUAAACGGCGGCCGUAACAAUAACGGUCCUAAGGUAGCGAAAUUCCUUGUCGGGUAAGUUCCGACCUGCACGAAUGGCGUAACGAUGGCCACACUGUCUCCUCCUGAGACUCAGCGAAGUUGAAAUGUUUGUGAUGAUGCAAUCUCCCCGCGGAAAGACGGAAAGACCCCAUGAACCUUUACUGUAGCUUUGUAUUGGACUUUGAACAGAUCUGUGUAGGAUAGGUGGGAGGCUUUGAAGUAGGGUCGCUAGACCUUAUGGAGCCAACGUUGAAAUACCACCCUGGUGUGUUUGAGGUUCUAACCUAGGUCCAUUAUCUGGAUCGGGGACAGUGCAUGGUAGGCAGUUUGACUGGGGCGGUCUCCUCCCAAAGCGUAACGGAGGAGUUCGAAGGUACGCUAGUUACGGUCGGACAUCGUGACGAUAGUGCAAUGGCAUAAGCGUGCUUAACUGCGAGACUGACAAGUCGAGCAGAUGCGAAAGCAGGACAUAGUGAUCCGGUGGUUCUGUAUGGAAGGGCCAUCGCUCAACGGAUAAAAGGUACUCUGGGGAUAACAGGCUGAUACCGCCCAAGAGUUCAUAUCGACGGCGGUGUUUGGCACCUCGAUGUCGGCUCAUCUCAUCCUGGGGCUGUAGCCGGUCCCAAGGGUAUGGCUGUUCGCCAUUUAAAGAGGUACGUGAGCUGGGUUUAAGACGUCGUGAGACAGUUUGGUCCCUAUCUUCCGUGGGCGCUGCAGAUUUGAGGAAGCCUGCUCCUAGUACGAGAGGACCGGAGUGGACACACCUCUGGUGUAUCGGUUGUCACGCCAGUGGCAUUGCCGAGUAGCUAAGUGUGGAAGAGAUAACCGCUGAAAGCAUCUAAGCGGGAAACUCGUUUCAAGAUGAGAUCUGCCGGGGCCUUGAGCCCCCUAAAGAGUCGUUCAAGACCAGGACGUUGAUAGGUCAGGUGUGGAAGCGCAGUAAUGCGUUAAGCUAACUGGUACUAAUUGCUCGUGCGGCUUGACCCC